rnacentral:rRNA from 1 species
AUGGAUCAUAAUGCUACUCAUCUUGGCCACCCUCUCAUUUUACUUACAAAAAAUAGAUUUGUGGCUUAUAAUGUUAUUAUUGACAAAAUUAAAGCCAAACUCAAUUGUUAUAAAGCUAACAGGUUAUCUCAUGCAAGGAGACCUACUCUUAUCAAAUUUGUGUUUGCCUCUCUUCCUGUAUAUUAUAUGUCUAAUAUCCUGUUAAGUAAGUCCACUAUUAAUAAGCUCACCUCUAUUAUCAGAAAGUUUUGGUGGACAGGUAUUGACAAAGAUAAUAAUUCUAAACCUAUUUGCUUCAAAGCUUGGGAUGAUAUUUGUAAACCUAUGCAUAAAGGUGGGCUGGGAAUUAGAGAUAUAAAUACUAUGAAUAAGUCCAUGGUUGCAAUGAUGGUUUGGAGAAUUAUUAAUAAUCCUGGUUCUUAUGUGACUAAAGUUCUCAAAGCCAAGUAUUUUCACAAUUCUUCUAUUUGGAGAGCUAAUGGUAAUAUUCCUAAAUAUUCCUUUUUGUCAGCUAAUGGUAACUCUUGUAUUUGGACUAAUCCUUGGUGCAAUAAUUGGGAAAGAGUUAUAAUCAUCUUACUCCAAAUUUAG